UUGGAGGGCAAGUCUGGUGCCAGCAGCCGCGGUAAUUCCAGCUCCAAUAGCGUAUAUUAAAGUUGUUGCAGUUAAAAAGCUCGUAGUUGAAUUUCGGGGUCAGUAGGUUGGUCAUGCCACUGGUAUGUACUGGUCUCACUGAUUCCUCCUUCCUGAUGAACUGUAAUGCCAUUAAUUUGGUGUUGCAGGGAAUCUGGACUGUUACUUUGAAAAAAUUAGAGUGUUUAAAGCAGGCAUUUUUGCUCGAAUACAUUAGCAUGGAAUAAUAGAAUAGGACGGCAUGGUUCUAUUUUGUUGGUUUCUAGGAUCACCGUAAUGAUUAAUAGGGAUAGUUGGGGGCAUUAGUAUUCAAUUGUCAGAGGUGAAAUUCUUGGAUUUAUUGAAGACUAACUACUGCGAAAGCAUUUGCCAAGGAUGUUUUCAUUAAUCAAGAACGAAAGUUAGGGGAUCGAAGACGAUCAGAUACCGUCGUAGUCUUAACCAUAAACUAUGCCGACUAGGAAUCAGACGAUGUUAAUUUUUUAAUGACUCGUUCGGCGCCUUACGGGAAAC
rnacentral:rRNA from 1 species